AACCUCCCCACACACCUUCAGACCAACAGAAAUCUCGGCUCCUGGUUGAAGAGGUGAAGAAAAGCCAGGGUGGGUGUGGUCAGGAUUCAUUCAACAAAUGAGGUUCCUCUGUGUGAAGAAGUCCCUCCCUCCUGAGGAGGAACUGCCUGAGAAAUGAAAGUGAAAUUUUUGGGGCUGUCAGGAGGAGAAAAGUGGAAGGAGCGUCCAGGUGAAAUGAACUGUGCAGUCCUUUAGAGCCUCUGGACAGAAGUAUUGAUGCUUGUGCUGGCCCGGCUUCCGAAUGAGUUCUGCAGGUGGAGGUUGGCAGAGAAGACAGCCCUGCUGUGCCUUGCCCAGGGAGGGCUUUGGGACCUGGGAGAAUGGUGUCAUUUCUGCCAUCCAGAAGCGCAGAUCAGCUGAGAGCGACGCACCAGAAGAACGCCUAAGAGUUUCCAAAAGUGCUGGUUCAAAAAACAUAUUGCACCUCUCUACCAAAGUCUUAGCAGCUCACUCACCAGCUGUUUGUUCCUGUGCUAAGGAAAAGAGAGUGUGGAAAAGCUGGAAGAAAUCAUCCUCUUCCUGUUUUGUCAACACAUUCUUUCUUCUUUUCCUUUGGCCUGAUCCCCAAGAUUUGGGCUUUGAAGAAAAAUCAGCUUCCAGCAAUGUGAACUGCAGCCAGAUCCAGCCAGUGCAUGAGGUCAGUGAGUAUGCACACACCAUUGAAGAUAAAGACAAUGAGGUUCUGGAAAUGAGUCACAUGCCGGAGUCCUGGAAUCCCAGUGCCCUUGCUUUUCCCUAUAAGAACCCAGCCUUCAACCUGCUGCACCUGGAACUGGAGGGAGCACAGAAGUUGGUGACUCAACUUAUGGCCAUUGGAGGCAUUAUUGAGGCAGCGGACCUUCUCCACUGACUCCAGAGCCAGGUGACUAACGCCAGUCUCACACUCAAGCUUUUGGCUGACUCUGACCAGAGCAGCUUUGGUGCUCUCCAGCAGGAGGUGGAUGUCCUUGAGAGUCAACUAAGUGAAUGUGAGAGACAAAAGGAGAAAGAACAGGCCUCCAGACACCUGGACCACCCCUCCCCCCGGCUUCUUGUGCCCAUGGAGGCCUCCAGGAAGUUAGCAAACCCCUUGUGGUUCAGCUGAAUUGGAGAGGCUUCUCAUACAAGGCAGGUGCCUAGGGCUGAGACUCAGUACCCAAUCCAGCCUCUUCCCUUUACUGGAUGGCUCCUCUACGCACAAAUGGCAGGUGAGCCCUGAGUGAGUGACUUCUGUUCUGCAAUCAGAUUACUUCCAAAUGUCCCCUACCUGUACCCAAACAGGUUUCUUUAUAGCCCCAAGCCAGCUUCUUCUCUCUAUUUUAAGUAUGCCCCAAAGCAAACCUGGCCUAGGCCUAACAGGUCACCUCCUAACGCUUUUCUCGUGAGACAAGCAUGACCCAGACUGCCCUGAGCUUCCUUCACAAAUCCACUGUCUAAAAAUUUUAAUCCCAUAGUAACUCAAAGAUGGUUCUACUUCUACUCUGAUUCUAUGUAAAGGACAAACUCUUCUACACCUGGGCCUCAAAAUUCUAACUUCCUGCUUAGAAGUUCAGAGCAUGUCUCUGGCCAAGCUUGAGACUUGGAAUUAGGCCAAUCUGUAUUUGAGACUCAAUACUGCCAUUUAAACUAAGUGACCUUGGGAAAAUGAAUUAACAUCUCAGAGCCCUUCUUAGCCAUAUGUAAAAUUGGGAUAAUUAUACAUAUAUGAGAAGAUCACAUGAGAUUACAUAGAAAAGUAUGUAAAACAUAGGUGCUGAUAUGUAUUUAUUAGAUGAAAGAAUGGCUAAAAGAGUCAAUAAAUAGAUGAGUAAGACCCUCAAUACAUUGUCAGCCUUGCUAGGGAGGUAGGCCCAAUACACAGAAUGUUAAAAGUCAGUGUGUGUGAAAAUGUAAUAUAGACCUGUUGUGAGAAAGAGACAUGAAUAUAGGUUAAACCAGUCAUUGAAGAGCCCUAGUUGAAGCUCAACUCAAAAAGAUUAAUGUUACUGAAAAUUAGUGUUACUGAAAAUAAUGUUCCCCAAUUUCUAUGCUUAUAUAAAAUGUAUAGGCUAUACUUUGUAGCAUAUAACUCAAAUAUGCUACACUUUGCAGCAUAUAAAAUAUGUUUACAUGCCUUGGAACCCUCUCAAAAUCUACGGGUAAUCAGGACUUACAGAACAAUGUUAAGAGAUAAGAUUACUCAUAACUCAGAGAUAAUUUAAGGAACUUUCCAAUGUGACCUCAUGAGAACAAAUCUCCCUGAAUCCAGCUCCAGAAAUAUGUCCUGUUACAGGACCCUUGCAUCUCAAGGACAGGUGGAAGGCGGUGGAGUGUAGAUACAGAAGAAUCUCCAUAAGGAAGAAAAAAUAAUAGCUACCAUUUUUUGAUUGCUCAUUGGAACAAAUGCUCUACUAAUUGUUUUCUUUGCUUUAUUUUGGACAGUACUAACAGUCAAUAAAGUAGCCUGUUAUUUUUGUUUACAGUUUUUACUUAUAAGCUGUGUGACCUUGAGCAAAUGACUCAACAUUUCUAAGACCUAGUCUCUUCAUCUGUAAGGAUAAAACCUACUAUGCAGUGCUGUUAUUAUAAUUAAAUAAGAUUAUGCAUAUAUAGUGUCUAAUAGGCACUGUAGCUAUUGGUGUUUUAUUAUUACUGUUACUUUUAAAAAUAGUUGUUUAGUUUGUCAUGGUUGAGUAAGUAAAAGAUGAACUAAAGUCAAUUGUUUGAUAGCAAAGCCCCUGCUCUUGAUCAGCAAACCAAUCUGCCCAUUUUUAUAGCCCUUUGUUACCUUAGUUAUUGUGGUCACCCAAUAAUUCCAAAUGCAGGGCUUGGCCUAGGUACUUUGACUACUAUCAGCUGUACAAAUCCUAUAAUGACCUUGUGCUGCUGAAAAACUAUGGAGAGAGGAAGAUGGGCUAUGGUGAUGGCAGUGGAAACGUUGUGUAUAAGAACUUUAUGUACUUUAACUACUAUGGCACAAGCAACAUGACCAAGAUGGACCUUUCCUCCAACACCCUGGUGCUGCGGCAUCCGCUGCCUGGUGCCACCUAUAACAAUCACUUUUCCUGUGCUGGUGUGCCCUGGAAGACUUAGAUUUUGUUGGUGAUAAGAAGGGGCCGUGGGUUCUUUAUGCCACUGAGGAGAGCAAGGGCAACCUGGUUGUGAGUCGUCUCAACACUAGCACCCUAGAAGUGGAGAAAACCUGGUGCACUAGCCAGUACAAGCCAGCCCUGUCAGGGGCCUUCAUGGUCUGUGGGGUGCUCUAUGCCUUAUGCUCACUGAGCACCCACAAAAAGGAGAUCUUCUAUGCUUUUGACACCACCACCGGGCAGGAGCGUUGCCUCAGCAUCCUGUUGGAAAGAUGCUGGAAAAGCUGCAGGGCAUCUACUACCGCCCCUCAGACCACAAGCUCUACGUCUUCAAUGAUGGUUACCUGAUAAAUUAUGACUUCACCUUCCUGAAGAGAAGGCUACCAAGACCAUCCACCAAGAGGCCCUCUGGGGUUCAUGCUCCACCAAAACCUGUCAAACCUAACAAGGCUUCCAGACCCUGAGACCCCAGGGCUGGGCAGAGCAUUAGUAGAAGUGUGCCCUCUUCCUUACCUCCAGGAGGACCACAUCCCAAAGUGGUCAUUGGUCCUAAUGAUUGGAAGACACUGAUUAUAUCUAGUGAGUCCUUUAUGUAAUUAAUAUCUCAAUCAGCAUAUUAAGGUUCCCUUUAAUAAUGGUCUAGGUGGAUUUGAUAGGGAAAAAGUAAUAUACUAAUAUUUAGUAAAAUAUUAGCUAAGAAAAUGGUACCCUCUCUUUCUGAUGCUUUGGCAUCUCAUAUUCCUUUUGGAGAAUCAUAAAUCCAGCUUCUGGAACUCAAGAGUUCUGUGAUCUAGAAUUGUCGGUUUCAGGUUGGGAACAUCCGAUUCCAGUGCAGAAGCUGUAGGGCAGCUGUUCAUUAGAGUAGGAUAUGAAAGUUCCCUUUCUUAUCUCUACCUUCCUGUGAGGCCCCUGGGGAGAAAAUAUAUAUAUGUGUAUA